CUUGACUCUGGGAUAAGCCUGGGAAACUGGGUCUAAUACCGGAUAUGACUCCUCAUCGCAUGGUGGGGGGUGGAAAGCUUUUUGUGGUUUUGGAUGGACUCGCGGCCUAUCAGCUUGUUGGUGAGGUAAUGGCUCACCAAGGCGACGACGGGUAGCCGGCCUGAGAGGGUGACCGGCCACACUGGGACUGAGACACGGCCCAGACUCCUACGGGAGGCAGCAGUGGGGAAUAUUGCACAAUGGGCGAAAGCCUGAUGCAGCGACGCCGCGUGAGGGAUGACGGCCUUCGGGUUGUAAACCUCUUUCAGUAGGGAAGAAGGGAAAGUGACGGUACCUGCAGAAGAAGCGCCGGCUAACUAMGUGCCAGCAGCCGCGGUAAUACGUAGGGCGCAAGCGUUAUCCGGAAUUAUUGGGCGUAAAGAGCUCGUAGGCGGUUUGUCGCGUCUGCCGUGAAAGUCCGGGGCUCAACUCCGGAUCUGCGGUGGGUACGGGCAGACUAGAGUGAUGUAGGGGAGACUGGAAUUCCUGGUGUAGCGGUGAAAUGCGCAGAUAUCAGGAGGAACACCGAUGGCGAAGGCAGGUCUCUGGGCAUUAACUGACGCUGAGGAGCGAAAGCAUGGGGAGCGAACAGGAUUAGAUACCCUGGUAGUCCAUGCCGUAAACGUUGGGCACUAGGUG
rnacentral:rRNA from 1 species